CAUGCAAGUCGAGGGGCAGCAUGAUUGAAGCUUGCUUCAAUUGAUGGCGACCGGCGCACGGGUGAGUAACGCGUAUCCAACCUUCCGUACACUCAGGGAUAGCCUUUCGAAAGAAAGAUUAAUACCUGAUGGUAUGAUGAGAUUGCAUGAUAUCAUCAUUAAAGAUUCAUCGGUGUACGAUGGGGAUGCGUUCCAUUAGGUAGUAGGCGGGGUAACGGCCCACCUAGCCUACGGUGGAUAGGGGUUCUGAGAGGAAGGUCCCCCACAUUGGAACUGAGACACGGUCCAAACUCCUACGGGAGGCAGCAGUGAGGAAUAUUGGUCAAUGGACGAGAGUCUGAACCAGCCAAGUAGCGUGAAGGAUGAAGGUCCUACGGAUUGUAAACUUCUUUUAUAAGGGAAUAAAACCUCCCACGUGUGGGAGCUUGUAUGUACCUUAUGAAUAAGCAUCGGCUAACUCCGUGCCAGCAGCCGCGGUAAUACGGAGGAUGCGAGCGUUAUCCGGAUUUAUUGGGUUUAAAGGGAGCGCAGACGGGUCGUUAAGUCAGCUGUGAAAGUUUGGGGCUCAACCUUAAAAUUGCAGUUGAUACUGGCGUCCUUGAGUGCGGUUGAGGUGUGCGGAAUUCGUGGUGUAGCG
rnacentral:rRNA from 1 species